rnacentral:rRNA from 1 species
AUGAACGCUGGCGGCGUGCCUAAUACAUGCAAGUCGCGCGAACGGACGAGAAGCUUGCUUUUCUGAUGUUAGCGGCGGACGGGUGAGUAACACGUGGAUAACCUACCUAUAAGACUGGGAUAACUUCGGGAAACCGGAGCUAAUACCGGAUAAUAUUUUGAACCGCAUGGUUCAAAAGUGAAAGACGGUCUUGCUGUCACUUAUAGAUGGAUCCGCGCUGCAUUAGCUAGUUGGUAAGGUAACGGCUUACCAAGGCAACGAUGCAUAGCCGACCUGAGAGGGUGAUCGGCCACACUGGAACUGAGACACGGUCCAGACUCCUACGGGAGGCAGCAGUAGGGAAUCUUCCGCAAUGGGCGAAAGCCUGACGGAGCAACGCCGCGUGAGUGAUGAAGGUCUUCGGAUCGUAAAACUCUGUUAUUAGGGAAGAACGUAUGUGUAAGUAACUGUGCACAUCUUGACGGUACCUAAUCAGAAAGCCACGGCUAACUACGUG